AACGAACACUGGCGGCGUGGAUUAGGCAUGCAAGUCGAACGAGAAAGUUUCCUUCGGGAAACGAGUACAGUGGCGAACGGGUGAGUAACGCGUGGGAAAUCUGCCCUUUUGUGGGGGAUAACAGUUCUAACGAGCUGCUAAUACCGCAUAAGCCCUUUGGAACGCAUGUUCCGAAGGGGAAAGAUGGCCUCUACAUGUAAGCUGUCGUAGAAGGAUGAUCCCGCGUCCCAUUAGCUAGUUGGUGGGGUAAAAGCCUACCAAGGCGACGAUGGGUAGCCGGCCUGAGAGGGUGUCCGGCCACACUGGGACUGAGAUACGGCCCAGACUCCUACGGGAGGCAGCAGUCGAGAAGCUUCCGCAAUGGGGGAAACCCUGACGGAGCGACGCCGCGUGAGUGAAGAAGGCCCUAUGGGUUGUAAAGCUCUGUCAGAUUGGGAAGAAAGCUCCACGAUUAAUACCCGUGGAGUGUGACGGUACCAUCAGAGGAAGCACCGGCUAACUCCGUG
rnacentral:rRNA from 1 species